CGAGCAGGCCGGGCAGCCGCGGGCGCAGCGCGAAAGCGCGCGUGCGAGGAAAGUCCGAGCUCCACAGGGCGGAAUAACGGCUAACGGCCGCCGGGGGCGACCCCAGGGAAAGUGCAACAGAAAGAAACCGCCGCAUUUGCGGUAAGGAUGGAAAGGCGGGGCAAGAGCCCACCAGCGCGCGGGAGACCGCGCGGCUCUGCAAACCCUAUUCGGAGCAACACCGCAGAGGGACGUUGCGCGCCGGCCCGGCGCGUCCCGAGAAGGUGGCAUCGAGCCGCGGUGGCGACACCCGGCCAAGAUAGAUGGCUGCUUAAGACAGAACUCGGCUUACAGGCCUGGUCGCAUU
rnacentral:RNase_P_RNA from 1 species